rnacentral:lncRNA from 1 species
UGUGUUUGUUCAAAGAUUUUUUCCACAGAUGAGAGAAUGAUAUUUGUGUUUUCGGCCUAGAGAUGAGAUGAGAGAAUGAAUUUGUGUUUUAGGCCUAGAAGAUGAGAGAGAGAAUGUAUUUGUGUUUUAGGCCUAGAGAUGAGAUGAGAGAAUGUAUUUGUGUUUUAGGCCUAGAGAUGAGAUGAGAGAAUGUUAUUUGUGUUUUAGGCUAGAGAUGAAAUACGCCUUUCGAUGCUAACACGCACCACGCCAACAAUUUGACGGCGUGUUUUUGAGCAAUUGCCGUCAUAUCGCUGGGGGACUCUUAACACACACACACCCUUAGACUCUAACACCACACACACACCAUUAGAUUCUAAAACACACGUUUAAACCACCACCAUUAGAUUCUAACCACACACACACCAUUAGAUUCUAAACACACACCAUAGAUCUAACCCACACCAUUAGAUUCUAAACACACACACCAUUAGAUUCUACCACACACACAC